rnacentral:rRNA from 1 species
CCCCUAGAUGUUCUGGGCCGCACGCGCGCUACACUGAGCAGUUCAACAAGUCUUAACCUUGGCCGAUAGGUCUGGGUAAUCUUUGAACGCUGUUCGUGAUUGGGAUAGACCUUUGCAAUUAUGGGUCUUCAACGAGGAAUUCCUAGUAAACGCAAGUCAUCAGCUUGCAUUGAUUACGUCCCUGCCCUUUGUACACACCGCCCGUCGCACCUACCGAUUGAAUGGUCCGGUGAAAUCUCGGGACGGCGGCUUGGUCGCUUGCGUCCGACUGCUGAAACUUGAUUAAACCAUAUCAUUUAGAGGAAGGUGAANUCGUANCA